UACGUAGGGUGCAAGCGUUGUCCGGAAUUAUUGGGCGUAAAGAGCUCGUAGGCGGCUUGUCGCGUCGGCUGUGAAAACCCGUGGCUCAACUGCGGGCUUGCAGCCGAUACGGGCAGGCUAGAGUUCGGUAGGGGAGACUGGAAUUCCUGGUGUAGCGGUGAAAUGCGCAGAUAUCAGGAGGAACACCGGUGGCGAAGGUGGGUCUCUGGGCCGAUACUGACGCUGAGGAGCGAAAGCGUGGGGAGCGAACAGG
rnacentral:rRNA from 1 species